rnacentral:lncRNA from 1 species
AAAAAACAUGUUGACAAAAGUAAACGAGGAUAUAAACAACCAAGCAUGAACAACAAACAAACUUGAUAAUUAGAGAUUUUCCUAAUAAGAAAUUGAAACAAAUCGUUGAGAUAUAUAUUCUUCUUCUUAUUAUUAGAACAACUACCGGCGGCUUCGAAAGAAUACAACAGAUUAAACUACAAGUCUUUGCUCCAAUGGUUGCCGGUUCAAAAGGAAGGAACUCAAUUUGAAGGCGACCGAAGGUUAAAGAGGCGCGCAUCGAUGUGGCCUUUGCACUCUGUAUUGCACUCGGCCAUUGUGGCAUAGCACAGAUCGAGCACUAGGCACCAGAAGCAACAAUUACCCGGUGCGCAAUCUUUAUGAUGGACGCAGAGUCCGCCCGGUAUAUUGAUCUUGUCGUCGUCCAUGCCCUCGAUGAUGCGGCCUGUUGAGCCACAAUACCAAACCACCGAUAGUUUCUAGUUGUGUUAGCAAACAAACUUGAUUCCAACAUGAGGCAUGAAAGAAGGAAAAGGUAUGAACAAGUUUAUAGGAAGCAAUAGCUUCAUCGCAUAUGUGCGACUUACAUUGCGCAUGAAGGGGAGAACACGCGAGAAACAGCAGAGAGAGCAGCAAGGCUGGUGCACAUGUGUGACUCUUGUGCUUGUCCAUGGAGAUCUCUGAUAUGAUGGAUGCUUGAUUGAUUCCUG